GGAGGGGCCUGACCGAUGGGACCACACUGGAGGAGGUGGGGGUCUGUUGCCACCCCUCACCUGCCCCGCAUCGCCCUCCACACCUCCCUCCCUGUGCUCAUCUCCCCAGUUACGGCAGAGUCUAUGCGGCCACUGACCCCUACCACCACACCAUCGGCCCCCCGGCGACCUACAGCAUCGGAACCAUGAAGUUCCCUGCAUCCCAGGCCGCCUGCAGUGAUGGCUAGCAGCCACAGGGGGCAGCAGAGGCCUCUUGGGGACCGGCCCCUUCCUGGCAGAAGGCCCCGAAAGUGAGGUCUGCCGCCCCUUGACUCCAGGCUCAGCUCGGUCUUCCCCGCACAUGCAGCUGCUGGCUAAGUUUUCGUUGAC
rnacentral:lncRNA from 1 species